rnacentral:piRNA from 1 species
UGAUGAUGCCUGAUGCUGCUUUGAAGGC